CCUACCCCUAGACGGGUUGCAGGUUUGGAGGCUGUGUCUGUAGAAGGCAGAGAGAAGAGAGGCUAUGUCUAUGUUCAGUGUCUGCUUAUGAACAUCUGAAUGAUUAGCAGCCUAACAUU
rnacentral:snoRNA from 1 species